rnacentral:lncRNA from 1 species
CUGCCACUUCCAGGAGCCGCUCUAUCCGCGCCCGCUUGAAGCGUCCUUAGCCAACCCAAGGAGGAGCAGGGCACAUAAGUGAAGGGACAUCUGGCGGAGGGCGCGAGGGUGGUGACCGUCCCCGGGCGAGAGGGCGGCGGAGAGUCCCAAGGCGACCCGGACUUUUGGUUAAGGUAAUUGGGGCGCGAAGGGGAGACAAUGUCGGGCCACCACCUCUCGGCGCUGCCGUGGUGCGAGAACUGCAAACAGGAGGUCGAGGCGGAGACCAACGAGUCAAACGGCUUCACGUGAGUCAGAACAUCCCCACCGCACCGCGCCCUUACGCGCACCCAAGGCGACGAGAUUCCCCCGUCGUCGCAUAAUUGUCGCUCCCCGCCGACUUUCCGCUCAACGCUCGCCCCUUCCC